UACGUAGGGCGCAAGCGUUUGUCCGGAAUUAUUGGGCGUAAAGAGCUCGUAGGCGGCCUGUUGCGUCCGCUGUGAAAUCCCGGGGCUUUAACCCCGGGCUUGCAGUGGAUACGGGCAGGCUGGAGGCAGGCAGGGGGAGAACGGAAUUCCCGGUGUAGCGGUGAAAUGCGCAGAUAUCGGGAGGAACACCGGUGGCGAAGGCGGUUCUCUGGGCCUGUACUGACGCUGAGGAGCGAAAGCGUGGGGAGCGAACAGG
rnacentral:rRNA from 1 species